rnacentral:rRNA from 1 species
GACGAAAGCUGGCGGCGUGCUUAAUACAUGCAAGUAGGACGCAGUUGCGAACGAGUGAGUAACGCGUAGGUAACUACCUAUUAGAGGGGGAUAAAUCUUGGAAACGAUAGCUACUACCGCCUACUAGUCGAUGGACCUGCGUUGUAUUAGCCAGUAGGUAGGGUAAUGGGCUAACUAGGCAACGAUACAUAGCCGGACUUAGGGGGUGAACGGCCAAACGGGGACUGAGACACGGCCCAGAACCCUACGGGAGGGAGCAGUAGGGAAUCUUCGGCAAUGGGGGGAACCCUGACCGAGCAACGCCGCGUGAGUGAAGAAGGGUUUCGGAUCGGAAAGCUCUGUUGUUAAGGAAGCGGUACUUAACCAGAAAGGGACGGCUAACUACGUGCCAGCAGCCGCGGUAAUAC